GACGAACGCUGGCGGCGUGCUUAACACAUGCAAGUCGAACGCUGCCGCCCCAGCUUGCUGGUGUGGAUGAGUGGCCGCCGGGUGAGUAAUACUUGAGUAACCUGCCCUUGACUCUGGGAUAAGCCCGGGAAACUGGGUCUCAUCCUGGAUACUACAUGUCACCGCAUGGUGGUGUGUGGAUAGAGUUUACUGGUCUUGGAUGGGCUCACGGCCUAUCAGCUUGUUCGUGAGGGAAUGGCACACCAAGGCGACGACGGGUAGCCGGACUGAGAGGGUGACCGGCCACAGUGAGACUGAGACAGGGACCAGGCUCCGACGGGAGGGAGCAGUGGGGAAGAGUGAAAAAUGGGCGAAGGCGUGAGGCAGCGGCGGCGCGGGAGGGAUGACGGUCUUCGGGUUGUAAACCUCAUUCAGCAGGGAAGAAGCCGAAAGUGACGGUACCGGCAGAAGAAGCGCCGGCUAACUACGUG
rnacentral:rRNA from 1 species